rnacentral:rRNA from 1 species
AGUUUGAUCCUGGCUCAGAACGAACGCUGGCGGCAUGCCUAACACAUGCAAGUCGAACGAUGCUUUCGGGCAUAGUGGCGCACGGGUGCGUAACGCGUGGGAAUCUGCCCUUUGGUCUGGGAUAACUGUUGGAAACGACAGCUAAUACCGGAUGAUGACGUAAGUCCAAAGAUUUAUCGCCAGAGGAUGAGCCCGCGUCGGAUUAGCUAGUUGGUGGGGUAAAGGCCUACCAAGGCGACGAUCCGUAGCUGGUCUGAGAGGAUGAUCAGCCACACUGGGACUGAGACACGGCCCAGACUCCUACGGGAGGCAGCAGUGGGGAAUAUUGGACAAUGGGCGAAAGCCUGAUCCAGCAAUGCCGCGUGAGUGAUGAAGGCCUUAGGGUUGUAAAGCUCUUUUACCCGGGAUGAUAAUGACAGUACCGGGAGAAUAAGCCCCGGCUAACUCCGUGCCAGCAGCCGCGGUAA